AAUUAGAAAUUGAGAAAUAAAAAAAUAAAAAGUACUUUUUCUUCUCAGUUUUGUGAUAAACGAGAAUGGCAUCGCCAAAAGCUCCACGGCCGAUUUGUUCCAUGAUCUCAUAAUGAUCCAUUCUCGACUCCAUUGCUAUUAACUCUUUCCUGGCUAUCCUUUUCUUUUUUCUUUUUUUUUCCAAAAAUU